UACGAAGGGGGCUAGCGUUGUUCGGAAUCACUGGGCGUAAAGCGCACGUAGGCGGAUCGUUAAGUCGGGGGUGAAAUCCUGAGGCUCAACCUCAGAACUGCCUUCGAUACUGGCGAUCUCGAGUCCGGAAGAGGUUGGUGGAACAGCUAGUGUAGAGGUGAAAUUCGUAGAUAUUAGCUAGAACACCAGUGGCGAAGGCGGCCAACUGGUCCGGUACUGACGCUGAGGUGCGAAAGCGUGGGGAGCAAACAGG
rnacentral:rRNA from 1 species